GCUGCCGUAGCUCAGUCGGUAGAGCACGUCCUUGGUAAGGACGGGGUCGGAGGUUCGAUUCCUCUCGGCAGCACCA
rnacentral:tRNA from 1 species